rnacentral:lncRNA from 1 species
ACUGUACAGGCUGUAUCUUGCUGUAUAAGACUGUAGCUUUCUGUCUGGUUUAAGUAUAUGUUUUUGGUGUUGUUGUGUCGUUCUGUAUCUAUGCGUGGAAUGGACUCAGUGGAGUUGUCUCAUGUUUGUUCUAGACUAGAACUUCUAGUGAUUGUCAUCUCUCUUGUUCUGUGUGCCUUGUUUCUAAGACUGUAGCUUGAUGUCUGGUUUAAGUAUAUGUUUUUGGUGUUGUUGUGUCGUUCUGUAUCUAUGCGUGGAAUGGACUCAGUGAAGUUGUCUCAUGUUUGUUCUAGUCUAGAACUUCUAGUGAUUGCCAUCUCUCUUGUUCUGCGUGCCUUGUUUCUAAGACUGUAGCUUGCUGUCUUGUUUAAGUAUAUGUUUUUGGUGUUGUUGUGUCGUCCUGUAUCUAUGCGUGGAGUGGACUCA